rnacentral:rRNA from 1 species
AUUGAACGCUGGCGGCAUGCCUUACACAUGCAAGUCGAACGGUAACAGGUCUUCGGAUGCUGACGAGUGGCGAACGGGUGAGUAAUACAUCGGAACGUGCCCGAGAGUGGGGGAUAACGAAGCGAAAGCUUUGCUAAUACCGCAUACGACCUCAGGAUGAAAGCAGGGGACCGCAAGGCCUUGCGCUCACGCAGCGGCCGAUGGCAGAUUAGGUAGUUGGUGGGAUAAAAGCUUACCAAGCCGACGAUCUGUAGCUGGUCUGAGAGGACGACCAGCCACACUGGGACUGAGACACGGCCCAGACUCCUACGGGAGGCAGCAGUGGGGAAUUUUGGACAAUGGGCGCAAGCCUGAUCCAGCCAUGCCGCGUGCAGGAUGAAGGCCUUCGGGUUGUAAACUGCUUUUGUACGGAACGAAAAGACUCUGGUUAAUACCUGGGGUCCAUGACGGUACCGUAAGAAUAAGCACCGGCUAACUACGUGCCAGCAGCCGCAGUAACAC